UGAUGCGGCGCAUUCCUGGCGUGCCGGCUCCCUCUCAUUGCACAAAAAAAAAAGUGUCUGGACAGGCAGCGUCCCGAUAAAGAUGUUCAGAUGUUGGGCUCUGGGUCUCUGGGAUGGUGUUAGAGCUCCAGUGGGCACUGGGAACCCCCCGGUGCAAUGGGAGCCUUGCAGAGAGGACGAGGAGGCACAGUGGUUUAGGUGGAGAGGAGACAAAUCCUGUCUGGGUGAUGGUGGAAGAGGAGUUGGUAAGGAGGAAGGACCAUGACUUCGUCAGCAGUGGAUGCUCAGGACACUGAGAUUUGGACAUCCAGCCAGCUCGGUGGGACGCGAUCUUGGGUGACUGUCACAAGGGAUGAACACCAGGAAAGAUGGAGGCCCAGCUUGUGUCCAUCAAGAAGUGCCCUGGGGACAGGGGAUACAGCCAAGGCCAUGGACAGCAGGAGCAAGCAGGCACUGGAGAGACCUGACCCGAUGACCUGCAUGUGGCUGAGGAGAUGCUCGACGUGAACAGGUUCCCGGGAGCCACGGAGAGGCGAAGCGCGUGUCGGGGACGGGACCCUGCUGCUGCACCUCCUCCGAGCUCUGCCCGCGCUCCAGCCUCCUCCGAGCGCAGAGCUGCAACGUGCUCCAGGAGCUGCCCAUCCAGCGCGUGCGGGCUGACGCUCCCCUGCGCACUCCGCUGCCUGGGGAGAAGUGCUGACUCCAGAUGUUUCCCGAAACGAGAACCUUCUGCAAACCACUGCUUUAUUUUCAUAUAGAAAGAAAACCAAAGGGCUGCUGUGAUGAUUAGUAACCACCGCCGUAGCCCGUACCCGUAACGGGGGCUCGGAGGAGCGCAGCCCCAUCGCACUGAACCGGAUCUGGCCCCCGUGGCCGGGUUUUGGGGCUGGAGAUGGCUGUCGCGGGUGCGUUGGGGAGGGCCGAGGCGCAGGGCUGCUGGCCCCACACAGGCACGGCAGGGAUCACCCCGUGUGCCGGGGACGCGGCUCCUGUGAGCAGCAGGGCCCCCGGAGCGUGCGUGCCCCGUUUCUUCCCUUUUUCCCCCCGUUCCGUGUGGGGGGUGAGCGCUGGCUCCGCACGUGGCAGGCGGGCACCUUUCCCCCCGUCCCCAACGGCUGCGGGGAGCCAAAAACUUGCCGCAACCAGUAAUUUCUCGGUGGCCAUGUCAAACCGGAGGGGAACAGUGGAGCCCCGCGGCUCUUCCUCCCCUCCUCCUCCUCCUCCGUCCCAGGGGGAAGAGGAGCAGGGCAGGGAGGAUGGCGAGGAGGAGGAGGAGGACCCUCGAGGGUGGAAGGAAAUCCCUGGCAGCUGUUAAGGGAGGAAGAGAGGGAACAAGAUGCGAGGAGAAGUUGAGAGCACCGUUGCCCGCAGCUGGGAGGUAGCUGGUGCUUGCAGAGUGCACGCGUGUGCAUGCAUGUACGCGUGCACGUGCGUGUGCUGUGGCUGAUGAAAGGGCCGGGAUGCCUCGAAGCCGGAGCCAAGGCGCGAUAUUACCCCCCGGGGAAAUAAUCCUGGUGUGCGAAAUGUAAAGAAGAAUUCGCCCGGACAACAACGGCUUCCCGGAGGAGCCCGACGGCCCGGCCCACGCGGGCGGCAUCGCUCGCCUUGCCGCCCAAACUGCCGUAGCGGCGUGCUUCCUCCUCCUCCUCCUCCUCCCGGCCUGGCGGGGAUGAAGAGAAGUCCUCCUCUUCAUCAAGGUCCGGGAUUUGUUGAGGAAAUCGGGAUGAAUCUGCUGGAAUUUGGCCCUGCGGGGUUGGGGGGGGCUGCACAUCUUUCCGCCUGUCUCCCAGGAGGGGAAAUUCCCCGUUUUCCAGGGAUUUUGGUGCCUCGUGGGGCGAACGGCGCGGCCGUGGGGAGCGUCGCCCGCUCCAUGGGGCCGGCGAACAGCAGCUGGUCUCGGAGACACCCAAGCAACUGCUUUGGACCACCGAACCAAAAAAAAAAAAGGAGAAAAAGGGGAAAAAACAGCUGAGAAAAGAAAGAAAAAGAGGAGGAAGAGGGAGGGGAGGGAGGAAAAUCAGAUACCCUUGUAACCCGAUUACGGCAGCCAGCUAUGUGUGCAAAAUCACAAUGCGGCUCCAUAAUUAAAUCGCGCUCCCCCCCCGCCGGGCGCUCUCCUCCGGCGGGCACGGCGCAAAUCCGGCCGCCAGCACGGCGCAGCCCGGCUCCGGCCGCUCGGCCGGUCCUUGGGGAGGUGGUAACCGGGCCCCGGCACGCCUCGCUCCCGCCGGGAUGUCCGAGCGGCCGGCACGCGACGGCCUGCUCCAGAGCCGGCGUUUCGAGGACGACCGGCUCUACUCCGGUGCAAAACCCGAAGCGGUGCAAAACCCGGUGCAGGACCCCUGUGCGGAGGGGGGGCACCCGGCCCCCUUCGGAGCAGGGCUUCUUCCUCCGCCAGAUACUGCAAAUCUGGAUUUUCCAGUUCCGGGAGGCUCCGCUCCUUGAAACGAGCAGCAGAGGAGAGGUGCAUUUUAAGAGGGACGGAGCAAAGGCACACGGCUGUGCCGGCAGCUCCCGCGCGCCUCUCCCGCACCUCCGCCGGGCAGAUGCUCCAGGAGCUUCCGACCGCGGCUCUUCCCAUCUCCUUAAGAUGCCCGGUGAUUCCUUCCCCGUCAAAACGGCAGGAGCAGCCGUGAAUAUUUCCCAUUUUAAAACACUUCGUGUGCACAGGAAAGUACCUGCAGCUCUUGCGGGCCAGGGUAGGGGGAAACACGAAAACCGAGGGUGUCUAUUUUAUAUCAGCCCUCGAAAAUAGCGCGCGCUGCCCCCCCCCCCUCCCCCCCCCGCUCACAUCUGCACCCAGGGGUGUAUUUUUGGCAGAACCGACAGUUCGAGGGAAAAACACCCAAUUUGCUCCGGGGAUGUAGGAAAUCCUGUCGCUCCGAGCGCAGCGCUGACCCGACGUCCGGCCGUUUCGGACCCAUGCGGACCCACAGCACUGGGGGGUCGUGGGGGGCCUGCAGAUGUGCAGCCCCCCCCGCCCCGCACGCCCCUACCCCACCGUCUGCUCCCCCGGGUGCCUCUUCCUCCCAUCUCACCCGAUUUAGGAGCCCAAAAAUGCGGGUGGUAAUUAUAGCACCGGGAUCCGUGCUGCGCUCGAGCUAGCCCUGCCCUGCGCAGGUCCUCUCUCCUUCCUGGGAAUAUGGUUCCCCCCCCCCCCCGAUCUUGGGUGAAAAAAGCUUAUUAUUGGGUAAAAGGGAAAAACAAAACGACGCUGAUCUGUCAUGCACGGUGCUGGGCUGCGGCGAAAGCCCUUUGCCACGGGCCUCGCGGUGACGCCUGGGACGGUGACGUUGGGCUUGCGACGGGCUGGUGCUGGGACAACUUUCCUCGGCGGAGAGGAAAAGUGAAAAUUUAAAAAAUUUUUAAAAAGACGAAAAAGGGGGGGUCUGAAUGCGGCGCAGGGGGUUGGACCUCCACAGAGCCGGAGUUACGGCUUAGGGAAAUGGGAAAACCCCAAAUUUCACGUCUCAAAAUGUGUUUGCUAUUUAAGGGGUGCCCCCCGGCCCCCCCGCGCGAAGCCGGCAGCCCGGCCCAGCGCUGCGUUUAUAAUCAGCCAGGAUUUAUGGAGAAAAACGAGAUCCCGAGCUGU